rnacentral:tRNA from 1 species
CUAAUGUGUCAGAUUCAAUGUAUUAAAUUUAAGAUUUAAUUAUGAAAACACUAUUCCUUUAGUA